rnacentral:rRNA from 1 species
AAUAUUGGACAAUGGGGUCAACUCUGAUGCAGACAUGCCGCGUGUGUGAAGAAGGUUUUCGGAUUGAAACGCACUUCAAGGUGGGAGGAAGGGCUUUAGGCUAAUACCCUGAAGUUUUGACGUUACCAACAGAAUGAGCACAGGCUACCUCUGUGCCAGAAGCCGAGGUAAUACAGAGAGUGCAAGUGUUAAUCGGAAUUACUGGGCGUAAAGCGAGCUGGGGUGGGUCAGUAAGAUGGGUGUGAAGUCCCCAGGCUUAACCUGGGAACUGCUUUCAUAACUGCUGAGCUAGAGUACGGUAGAGGAUAGUGGAAUUUCCUGUAUAGAGGUGAAAUGCGUAGAUAUAGGAAUGAACACCAGUGGCGAAGGCGACUACCUGAACUGAUACUGACACUGAAGUGCGGAAGCGUGGGGAGCAAACA